rnacentral:tRNA from 1 species
GCCGGCCUAGCUCAACUGGUAGAGCAACUGACUUGUAAUCAGUAGGUUGGGGGUUCAACUCCUCUGGCCGGCACCA